AGAGAACGGAAGGGGUGAAGGAGGAGUAUAGCGAGGAAGACUGGCCCCGGGACAUUUGCAAAUCCUAGGGUGCCACUGAAAGGUGGGGAGUCAGACAAAGCCAGAGCGACAGAAAAGCGGAUCUACUCCCAGCAGCAACAACAGGAGCUGUCUGGAGCUGGAUAUAUACAUAGAUGCGUACGUACGUGCACACACAGGAGGAAUUCAAGCUGAAGCUAAUGGGAGGGAGAAAGGGUUUGGGCUGUGCAAAAAGCUAUGCGUUUCAGGCAUGAGACUAAAAACUGAAAGAAGAGGCUGUGCUCCCGGGAAUGUGUCAUCUUGGAAGGGAGGGAGGCAGGAAGGAAGGAAGAAAAGGGGGAAGAUAACUGGCAUGUGGAAGACGAUGGGAUUCUAACUCACUGCUGUGCAGAAGGGAAAUCCAACUUGUAGAUCUGAAAUACACCAGGCAGAGAUUGCAAAUGCGAUCGGAGCUGCGUUGAAGCAGAGAAAGAGAAGAAAAGGGAGGCAGAGGCUGGAGAGCUUUUAUCCUUCUCCCUCUCUCUCCUCAAAGAAGAAAUAGAAGUUUAUCUGUCUUGGUGCUGCUGGAUCUUUAUAGCUGCUGGACAAAAGAUGGAGAGGAAGCUGAAAUGAAAAGCAAAGGGAAACCAGUGCUUGCGAAACUCACGGCUAAGAAGACAAAUCACGCCUCCCCAGGCUUCUUUUGUGCCCCAUCGGGGGAGUUUUAACAUCAGAAAGAUUUUGAGAAGUGUGGGGAGCAAAGGGGAGAGUGGGCGUUAAAAACACCCAUCCUGAGUGUUUAAAAAAUAACGAGGGGAUGGAUUUAUUCUUGACAGCUGGUGGGAACCUUGAAUUUUUCUCUACUCCCUCCCUCCUUCCUUCCAUUUAAUGUGAGAUUAUGAAAAUGCAGAGGAGUUGGAGGGAAGGCAAAAGGAUAUAAUGUGGAGUUUGAAGCGAGGAAGAGAGUGCUGAUGCUGUGGAUUGCUGGCUUCUUGCUGAAAUCAAAAAUCCAAUUGCGCACUGGGUUGUGAUUGGAAAUCUAAUCAGAUCUUUGGGGAGAAGGGAGAGACACUAAAAGUUAUCGUAUUGACAUAUAGAAAUAAAAAUUUAAAUGCAAACGGAGAUUCUAUCCUGAAGGAGUGUGGGGGAUAGGGAAAGAGAAGAAUGGGAAUCCCCAUUCUAAUGUGGAGACACACGGAUUGGAUAAUUGAUAGUGCAGCAAAGAAGGGGGAAGAAGAAAAUUGCCUGGCAAGACCUGGAUCUUAACAGUCACAACAAAAUUGCAUUAAAAGAAUACAGAUGGAGGGCUGCUUAAACAGAAAUACAGCUCUUUCUGCUCUCCAGAGAAAAAACAAAUAGUGAGCAAUGGAGAGCAGAGAAGCUAGAGUGGCAGAAAACCUCAGAAAAAGGGAAGUAGGCAAAGGAUCCACUGUGGAAUGAAAAGUUUCAGAAAGAAGAAAGACCAUUCAUCCUCUGCAAUAAUUUUUCUUUUUUUUUCUUGGUGUUUUAAACCCCUCUUCUCCAGUGAAGCAAACAUCAUUGUUACCACUACAGCAAUUUUAAGCAGAAAAGUUGAACACAACAGAGAAAAUAAAGGACAGAGAAGAAAAAAGCAAAAUUGCUGGAGGGAGAGAGUUCAGCAGUGCUGGGUUGGAUUGGUACCUGUAUGGACUGAAAUUGCUUGGGAAUUGCAGUUGGAUAUCUUUUAUUCUUGUUUCCUUCCUUGUUUUUAAUUUUGGUUUGGUUGCUGAAAUGAAAUAGUUUUCAUAACCCAUCCCCCACCCUGUUUUUUCAUAACCACUCGGAUUUCCAGCUGGAUAGUCUUUGAGGAUAUAGGUGAAUGCUGUGAGGUGGUCAAGUCAACUCUGUGGAACAUUCUCCAAUGGGCUAGUAGGAUGAGAAGAUCCAAGAGUAGUUUGGGAAACAAGGAGAAACAUCACCUCUCAUGACGGUAAACCUACCGAAAAGAGUCUCUGGAGGGCAAGAUGCAAAAUGCAACUCUCAAAACCUGUAGGCAUGUGGAAGCCCCAAACUGGGAAUCUCUUGUCACUGAAGUAAGAGGAAAAGAGAUUGCCAUCUCAGACUUCUUUCUACCAUUUAAGUUACUGCAUCUGCAUCAAAACACCAGCAGUUCAUAUGGCAUCAUUAUAUAUUGGUUGAAAAAUACUGAGUGAAGCAUUAGGAAUAUGGGAAUUAUCUUGGCUCACAGAGAUCUUGUGAGGACGUGUUUAUGUUUGAUGCCUUAUUAAAUCAAUCCAGUCAAUGGUGGAUGGUUGCCAAAACUUCCAGUGGGUGCAGAAGGCUCUGCAGCCCCUACAUCCAUGCAACUCCCAACAACAGAAGUAUCAGGUCAAAGUUUGUUGUAGAGAUCUAGGAAGAUACUUGGAGGUAAUUGUUAUAGUCCCCCUGAGUCAUCACAUAGUUUCACUCUUAAUUUUAUUUCACUAGCUGCCUCCUAAAUUGAGUCAUUUUCCCACUUGUAAUAUUCAAAGGUAUACAAAUAGUGUAUGCAAGAGCACCUGUGACCUAUUCAUUGCCCAGCAGUGAUAGAUUUGGUAAUAAUGUGCUUGCUAUUCUGGCUGUGCUGCACUUUGGUAAAACCUAAGGUUUAAUUGAAAUACACUCUGACCUUGGUUUUGAUCAUGGGGCAUAGAAUGGACAUAAUUGCUAUGAAUCUACUGAGAGAUAUUAUGGCAAAAUGUCAUAUUGCUAAUUUUGGCGACUCAUACCCUUUUGGGGAAAAAAAAUCCCCAAAAAAUCCACAACAACAGUGAACCUAAACUCUCAGUAAAAAUAAAUAAAAUGUGUGGCAGAUUCAUGAAAGUCCUAAAACAAGUAAUUUUCCAAAAAAUUAACUUCUUACAAUUCUCUGUACCUAUUUUUUUCUCUCAAAAUGCUAUCACGGUAUGAUAAUUGCACUGCCCCUAACAGUUUCAUAUUCCUUCAUAAUUAAAUAAACAGCUUGUAAAUUGCAGACCACAAAAUGCCUGUGUUCCACUCUUACCUUAAGGGGUUUCCAUAGUUACCAAGGACAAGAAAUUUAACCAUCAGUUGCCAGUCUCGAGGCUAUAUGCAGCUGUAACUUUUUAUUUUCUGUCUCUUUUUCACUUUAUCUCUAUGUUCAUUAACAGAAUGAGGGAGUAAUUUGGACUCAGUUAGCCCCUGCAAAUGCAGUGAUGUAAAAUGGACUCUGCUGCUUUAGUGUGUUAGCUGGAUGUGUUUCUCCCAGGUCUUUUAGAAUAAUGCAUACUAGCAAUACAGUCUAUAGUUACCAAGGUUAUGAAAUACUUACCCAGCACUUCUCCAGCUCAGUAUCAAAUAAUUCAUAUCUUAAAAUAGGAAAGCAUCUUUCUUAACAGUGUUACAGCAUAGAUGUAUUUAGGCAGAUGUGAGUUCUAAUUGAUACAAAAAAAAAAAAAAAAAAGCAUUAAUGCAGACUUCGCAUUGCUACUUUAAGAUAAUUUGCCUUUAUCCUUCAAUUGCCUCCAUUUUGCCUAUUACAAAAUGUAUUUGGAAAAACUGCACUUAUUAAAGCACAAACACUAUUCCUUAUACCAGUGAAACAGACUGCGUAUCUCAAAAAAAAUCUUAUUUUUUUUCUAAAUUAAUUCAGUUUUUACCAGAGCAUCCCUGUUGCCAGUGCAUAGAAAGUACUGCUAAUCCACAAAUAUAUUAUAUUUUUAUCAAAUUAAAAUAUUUCUAUCUCCUAGAUUAUGUUAGCUCCUGAGGUCAAGAACUCAGUAAUGAUCAAAGGAUGUUUUGUUUUAGUGGAAGAAAUAUCCACCAUUAGCAUAUUCAGUAAAUUUAUAUAUAUAUUGUAAUUUAGAAAAGAAUGUUAAACGCUAUUGGUUUUGGCUUUAAAAUCUGAACUCGCAUUUCAUAAGAGUUGGAUAAAACUUUCAUAAGGACAAAUAUAUAAUCUAAUAUCCAUUUCUUCUAUUUGAUCUUCCUCAUACUGGUUGUAUAUGCAUACGAUUGUGCAAGCAUUGUUAUAUAAUAUAAUCUAAUAUAUAUAACCUAAUGUCCAUUUCUUCUGUUUGAUUUUCCUUGUACUGGUUGUAUAUGCAUACCGUUGUAUGAGCAUUGUUAGACUAUGUGGUGUUUUGAUCUGACUUUUCCAUCAUCUCUGUCUUAUAGUUUGUGAGCAUGGAGACAAUUCGGGAAGGAACAAGGGGAGAGUCUUGGAAUCCACCAGUCUUGCACUUUUUUUGCCUUUGUGUCUAUAUAAAAUACACAUUUUAAUAUCCUAUAGAUGUAACCUGACAAUUUUUACCUGUUUCUUUAAAAUCUUAUAGGCUGUUGUUGAAAAUGAUUCUAAUUUAUACUCUUUAAUAUCUCCAUGUACCAACUGAUAAUAUUCUACCAGACUAGAACUGGCUUGUUUGGAAUUAAGUGUUAUUGUAGUACCUUUAAAUAGAUGUUGUCUUAAAUCACUGCUAGUUUGCUAGUGUGUUAAAAAGAAGUACCACAGUGCUCUAAAAUAGUGAUGUUAGUGUGGCAGGAAUGAAGACUGCAGUGGUUUGGAACACUGCUAUAGGAUUUCAUAGUUUUUUACUAAUGGCUUCUUUUUUUACUAACUUGUUUGUGGUUCACAGAUGCCUUCCAAAAAGGGUAACUGUCAUUUUGUCUUGAUAAUAAACCAAAAACAGAUUGAGAAAGCAUCCUUUCAAUAAUAAUUGAUAUACUACAGUUUAAUGGUUGUUCACUGAUGUAUUUCUCUUACAAGAAAUACAUACCUUCAGGUGAAAUCCUGAAAGUGUUUGUAUGACUUGUGUUUCUAUCAUGGUUGACAUGUAGCAUGUAGUGACAUGCUACUGUAAGUAAUUAAGAGGAUUAUGGUAUCCAGGCUCUUGCAAACUUGCUUCUGUACAGUUGUGUGGUUCACUCUACAUAAAUAUCUGCCUAGAAGAGUGCACAAGAUGAAAGCAAAAUAAUAUGUUAAAAGAAAUGGUGUUUUAUCAAAUGAAUUAGUGAAAAGAGAAGAGCAAAAUGCUACUUGAAUAACUUGAGGGAUCAGUGAUGUGGUAGAAAACAUUUUUACCUUCAUGUAAUUGGUUUGAACCAAGCCCAAGUCAAUACAGAAUGAAAGUUCCUAAUGUCUACAUGGGGUUUCAAGAAAAUGAAUCCAAAUUAACUUUGAAAAGAGACUAGCUAAACUGCAUUACAUUCUUUUAUGGACAGUGUUAAUUGAAAUUACAGUGGCCUUGAUUCAAUUUAGCUUAAAUUAAAUUCUAAAUAAGAGUGUCCACACAAAGAUUUAAUGCAAUAUAAUUAACCCACUUUAAAAGUUAAUUCCAAUUAAAUUUCUAGAAUGUUUCUGUGUGGACUGUUACCAGGCUGUAAUGUGAUACCUUUUAUGAAAGAAUUCAAGCUCUUUCAUGGUGAAAAGUUCUUAGAUUGCUUCCAUUCACAGAACUGUGAGUAGUCUUAAGAGAAUUACUUUUUUUCUUUUCACAUUUUGGGUGACAUCCUCACAAAAUAUCACAAUCAGUAAAGAAACCAACAAAUUAUUCUUAAUAAGAAUAAUAUGUCCUGAAGAAAUAUCAAUUUCCUGAUAUUUGCUAUGGUUAUCCUAUAAAAUAGCAAAUGUUUUCAGUUGUAUUGAGGAUACAAAGUAUAAGUCAAACUUGGGAGUAAAAAAAAAUGUAUAAAUAAAGGGACAUGUAAAACUGAUUUAGAUUAAACUCUCAUUUAAAUUAAACUCUAUAAACCUGAGGAAGACAUACUCGAGAAAAGAUGAAAUCAUGUGAAAUAAAGCUGUUUUCUAUAUAACAAAAUGAAAUAAAAGAAUGGAAAGGCAGACGGGAUCAAACUCAUCCUUGAUUGAACUCCCCUGAAAUGAAUGGUGAUUCAGGAGGAUUGGAUGUGUCCAUCCACAUUUAGGUCUUUCUGUUUAGUCUGUUAGUGAUUCAUUUAAGUCUUAGAGGGUUUUCUGAAGAGAACCGGAAAGCAUUUGUGAUACAGCAAUAUCCACUCUGCAUCCUGCACUUACAUGCUUCAAGGGACUGUAGGAAAUCUUGACUAUGUCCCAGAGUGAAGCAAUGAAACAUGUAAAGAGGAAAAUAAUUUGUGUUGUGAAUCUUGACUUAUCUGGUCUCACAUGUAAUCAGUUUGCAUUGCAGGGCUGCCUAUCUAGCCCUUUUUGGCCUCCACUAUAUUUAACUACAAAUAAAAUAAAUAACAAAUAGAUAAAGGCUGCUGGGCUUUGAAACCUCCCAGGUUUUUAGGCAUUGUUGCAAUGGCUCCCUAAGCUGUUGUUGAGACUUUUAAAGUCCUAUAGGAGUGGAAAGAGAAAUCUGAUUUUUUAGAAAGGAGGAAAAGAUACACAGCUAUAUAGUUUCAGUGAUAAAAAAAAUAAGGCUAGGAGGAGAGAGACAUGAGAUCUAUGUUAACAAGUCUAUUUGCUGAUUUUGUAUAAUUGUUAUUGCUGUGCUCUAUGAAUAAUAUAGCAUGGUUUUCUUUGUUGGUGGCAAAAACAAUGAAUUAAAAAAACAAUGUCAUUUUACUGUAUAUAAGCAUGCAAAGUGUUUACACUUCAGCACUAGUCCAUGGAGGUUCAGUCAGGUGGAAAGGAUUUCAGGUCAGAAAAGGCAGGAAGAGGAACAAGAAAGUAUGGUGAAUGAAUUUGAAGCAAUGUGGUUCCAUCAGCUCAACCCCUCACAGCCAUAUGGGGACAUACAUCUGAGGCUGCAGGAGCAUUUGCAGAGCAGAUGUUGGUGGAGGAUUUCUGACCCCAGUGGAUCUCCCUGCCCACAGUUCAGUCUCUGUUCAGGGAUGCAGUCUGGCCCUUGUGUGUUUUACUGUUUUGUUCAGCUAAAACAGAUUGUGUGCUUGCCUUCUAGUAUCUACACUGCAAUUCUCUUGGCUUCUCUGCUGGCAUUGCUGCCUGAAGGGAUCAGUCUGAGGCUCUGAGAGCAUUCAGAGUAACUCAAAAGAAAGUCAAAAGAGUCACUUCUGCAUAAGGUCGUCCCGGGCUUUAGACCUAUUUUAUUACUGUUCUCCAUGCUGUGUUCCAUACAGAAACUAUUUGCAAUGCUCCAGUGCUGAUGUUACCGGAAGAGACUUCCCAGCGUAAUUAGCUGCUUGACACACAUAGAUCCUCUUCAUAUGUUUGGAAAUCUGCCAUUUAAUUUGCAGCUGUAGAGUGGCUUGUUUACUAAAAUAUGCAGAUAUCUUUGCAAAGGGUUUUUCUCUCAAUAAGCUCUUUAAAAGCAUACAUAACUGUGCCGUAUAAAGUGAAGAAAAGGUGAGUUUUCUGAAAAUAUCUGCAUAUUUACUGACUUAGUUGUAAAAAGUGUCCUCAUCCAGAACUUUUCUGGCACAAACUUGAAGGGAGUAUUGUGAAGAUUUAAUUGCACUGUAAUCAUUUAAUCACCUAAUAUCUGAUAUCUGAUACUUUCUUACCAUGUUUUCAAUGCAGUGAUACAGUCUCACAUCUCAUUCUUUUUUCAGUGGAGAUGUACAGCACCAACUGAAGAUUAUUACAUUAUACAGUAUCAUAAACCAUAUAUUAGGUUAAAGCCAUGGCCUUUGCAUCAUGUUGCUCCACUGUUGAGACUGUAACUCAAAGGCCUACAGACUAGAUAGAAAGCUGAGUUGCCAGAAGCAACUGCCAGUGAUCCAGCUAGAGAACUCACAAACUCGGGAAAAUAUCUUUGCCACCUGCAUACCUUAUCAGAUAGAUCUUUUGGAAAGGUGUAGGAGUUCUUCUUUUGGAAUCAAAGUCCAGUGUUAAAGAUGAGUAUAGUCACUUUAUACAGGUAAAAUAACAAAAAGUGAUGAAAGUUUAAUAUCAAGCUGAAUACCUAAUGAUAAAGAAUGAGAAAAAAAAAAAAAGUGGGAAAAAAAAAAAAAAGGGAAUGAAAAAUGAAACAUCGAUUUCAUUACAAGGCCUGUGAGGAAGGCAUCUUGACAUCUCUGCAUACACAUGCUCAACAAAGUUAACUUCCAGUAGCGUAACAGCUGUAUCCUUCAAGCUUUUCCAUAAGAAAAGGUCUGCAGAGAUAGAUUAGCUUUGUCAUUCCUUACUCCGUCUUCUGUAUUGGAACUUAAGAGUGCAAUGCUUUUUGCUUAGAGGAAAAUGUGUACUGCAUCAGACUAAGUGUCAAGUAAGUACAGAGAGAAGAAUAUGCAUAUCAGGAGUCCAUUUGAGUGAAGAUUUUCUGACUUCUACGGAAAUAGGAAAAAAAAAACAACUAAAGCUAUAUAUUUGUAUGUAUGUGUGUCUCUGUGAUCAUAAAAAAUAUAUUACUAUAUAAACAGGGUUUAAGAAUUCUGAUUGUGUCUGGGUAAUAGUCGGAACAGUAAGAGUAUUCUUAGCCUUUUAAACAAAUUUUAAAUAUAUACAGCAGAGGGCACUAGUGUUAUUGAAUUGACCAUUGAGUUGAUAUUUUAGUACCAGACAGAUGAAAACAAAUUGCUCAGAAGACAAAGAGUUGUCAGGAUAGACUGAAGAAGCCGGUUGAUGGUCUGUGUUCCAUGUGUGGAUUUAUUAAGCUAAAUCUUUGUGUUUUACACUAGCAUAACAGACAGAUGCUGAAUGACAAAUUAUUCUAGUACUGAGUUCCAAGGGAAUCUUUAUGUAAAGUCCAUUAACAUAUUUCCAUAAUGUUCUUCAAGACUUUAAAUUAUUUUUCCACUAUGUUUUUGCACUGUUUUUUUUUUGUUGUUUUUUGUUUGUUUGUUUGUGUGUGUGUGUGUUUUUGUUUUUUGUUUUUUUUUUUUUUUCCCAGGGUGUUUCCACACUUUAUAUUUAAAAUAACUCUGACUUAAAAUGACUGAGACAAUACUUCCUGAAUACUUAAGCUCUUAGUGAUGGAAAGAUGCCAGUAUGCCAGUAUAAAAGAAAGUGCUGUUUUUUAAUAUGUUCCUUCUGCCACAAGGAAUCUCACCACAGUAUAUUAGCCUCAUGCAAAACUUGCAGGUUGGAAGUGAGGAUUUUCAAGAGGUUGCCUGGCAUAGCUUCUGCUGGCCAAGGUGACUUUUUUAUAUCAUCAGAUCCUCUGUACUUCAGUACUGUAUUCAAAUAAAAUGCUUUUAUCUUCAUUAUUUUUUUUAACCCAUGAAGCAUGUGUGUAGUGAUGGAAAAAGAUUUUAUGGAUUAAGGAGUGAAUUAAGAGAAUGAUGGGAGAUGGUGUAAAUGAAGUUGGAACAGGAAAGAAGUGACUUGCAGGUCCUGCAGCAUGGGUUGAAAUGAUUGGCUUUAUGGAGUCUGGCAAAGCAGCUGAACAUAGUUUAUGUACAUGCUAGUUGAUGUUGAGGACAUCUGCUUUCUCAAGUUUGUUAUGCUUUUAUGUUUGCAUGACCUUCAUAGUGUUUGCUACACUUUAUUGUUUUACUAAUCCAGUAGUUCUUCUAAUCCUUCAGGAUAUCCCAUGUACAGGAAUGAGACUACAAAGUAGCAAAAAGAAAGAUAGAGAAGUCCUAUGGCCUGUUGCAAAACUGGCCUUUAACAGCAAAUGGAUAUGAGACAGAACAUAAAAGAAAGCUGUAGCUCUAUAAGCCACGUGUGCUUACCUGGGCCACACCAGCCAUACAAGGACAACAGUCAGCUCUGAAGCUUGACAGAGCAGACUGAGUUCUUGUGUCAGUUACACUGAAGACGAUAACAUUGUCCCAGUGCAGUGGUAGAAUAAUUAAUUUGGUGUGGUUCUGCAUCUGUUUUAUUACUCAUUAGUGGAGUCACUAAGGGAUGAGUUCUAGAAGAGUAGAAAAAGUGAGGCAGGAAAAAUGAUAAACCUACACAAUAAAACAAAGCUAGGGACAAAAAAUACAGGUAAAAUAAUAGGACCUAGCACAGAAGGUGAUUAAUAAAUAUUCAGCAUCAAAAUUCAUGGAUUACACAUCUUAACUAAGGAGCCUGAAAUCAACAUCAGAUUCAUUGAUAGCUGACCACAACAGGCAGAUUCCUCUUCAUGACAGUGUAAGAAAGAUGGUCCUUUUCAUCCCCAUUUUUACAGAUAGUUUUACUACAGUGGAUUUUUUAUUUAAGAAAACUUGUCUCUUAGUGUUCUUUAGUGAGUAGUUUAAGAAUGUUUAUCCCUGUAUUUAACAAGCAAAAGCUUGAGAUAGGGAUAAAGACACAAGAGCACCUUCUGAGUGACCCUGUAAGCCCACAGUAAAAAUGAAGGUGUUACAGCAGUACCCCUCAGCAGGGUCUGGUACAUCACCCUAAACCCAUGAAGCCAAUAUUCAGGAGUACUGUUAUCAGUAGAGGGAAGGGAUGGGGAGCCUGGAGCAGUAACACCUAACACUACAGCCAUGGUGUUCUCCAGAAUCAUAUGAUAGAAGUUAAGCCACAGAGAGGGAAGUUCAGUGACUUGCACAAGGUUGCAGAACACAUUAGUUUCAUGAAUCUUUCAUACCAAGACUGAUGUUUUAUAAAUAACACUUACAGAGCAAAUCAAACAAACAGCCCAGAUCUUCCAAUUUCCAUUCACAGGUAUCCAUUAUAUUGGCUUUUUUUCUGCAGUAAAUUAUUAAAAGUGAGAUGAGAACUCUUGCUAGCUCUGAACCAUUAUAACAAGUUCAAAAAAAAAAAAAAAAAAGGCAGAAAUGAAUUCUCAAAACAUACAGUGUCUGAAUAUAUAAUUAGAGAAAGUCUUUCAUUAAAUGAAUUGCUGUGAGAUGCAAGUUAGUAUAUAUUGUUUAAAGAAAUACAGCUUCUUCAAACAAAAUGAAACAAUUCAGAGCCUGGAGUGGAAAACCUUUGCCUUUUAGUAUUUUAUUUUACUGAAUACAUGUAUUAUGUAUCUGAGUGCUCUAGGUUAGAAAUAUGCUCUAAGCUUGCUGUAAUUUAUAAGACUUCACUUUUGGCUGAUUUAUAGGAAAUUUCAUUAAUCUCUACAGCAGAGGGACCUUGUAGAAAGCAGCAGAUUGAAAGUGAACUGAAGGCUAGGGGCUUGAAGAAUUAUCACAAAUGAAUCAGUACUGAAAGACUUAGAAUGGUAAUGAUCAUUUUUAGUGUAAAAAUCUUUUUCCUCCUUACAGUAAGAUCUGUAGGAUUUUUCUUUUAGAGAUACCAAUGAAAUUGUCAACCCUGGAGCUACAUAGAUAUUUUUCAGCAUUUAAAAGGCUAUUCAUAUUUCUGUGUUGGGCACACAUAUACUAAUGAGUGUUUCUCUGCUGCUGCUGCCAAACAAAAGAUUUGAAGAGGAAAUACCAUGAAUUUGGAUGAUACUGUUUAAUGACGGGGAAGAACUGGUGCUUGUUGUGUUUCUUUUUUGUUUUAAAAUCUAAAAUAGGAAAGGUAUUGCCCUGACAUUUCCGUGAUCUACUACAUUUAGUAUUAAAAGUUUUAUUUUUAUUCAGACUCUGAGGUAGGAAUUCCAUUUAUAAUGACAAACAGUUUACC
rnacentral:lncRNA from 1 species